rnacentral:rRNA from 1 species
GAGUGGCGAACGGGUGAGUAACGCGUGGGUAACAUGCCUCAUACAGGGGGAUAACAGUUGGAAACGGCUGCUAAUACCGCAUAAGCGCACAGUACCGCAUGGUACGGUGUGAAAAACUCCGGUGGUAUGAGAUGGACCCGCGUCUGAUUAGGUAGUUGGUGGGGUAACGGCCUACCAAGCCGACGAUCAGUAGCCGACCUGAGAGGGUGACCGGCCACAUUGGGACUGAGACACGGCCCAAACUCCUACGGGAGGCAGCAGUGGGGAAUAUUGCACAAUGGGGGAAACCCUGAUGCAGCGACGCCGCGUGAGCGAUGAAGUAUUUCGGUAUGUAAAGCUCUAUCAGCAGGGAAGAAAAUGACGGUACCUGACUAAGAAGCCCCGGCUAACUACGUGCCAGCAGCCGCGGUAAUACGUAGGGGGCAAGCGUUAUCCGGAUUUACUGGGUGUAAAGGGAGCGUAGACGGCAUGGCAAGCCAGAUGUGAAAGCCCGGGGCUCAACCCCGGGACUGCAUUUGGAACUGUCAGGCUAGAGUGUCGGAGAGGAAAGCGGAAUUCCUAGUGUAGCGGUGAAAUGCGUAGAUAUUAGGAGGAACACCAGUGGCGAAGGCGGCUUUCUGGACGAUGACUGACGUUGAGGCUCGAAAGCGUGGGGAGCA